GAUGAAGAACGUAGCGAAAUGCGAUACUUGGUGUGAAUUGCAGAAUCCCGUGAACCAUCGAGUCUUUGAACGCAAGUUGCGCCCCAAGCCGUUAGGCCGAGGGCACGCCUGCCUGGGUGUCACGCAUCGUUGCCCCCCUCCCCGAAACCCCUCUCCUCGAAAGAGACGAGGGGACUUGGCCGUGGGGGGGCGGAUAUUGGCCUCCCGUGUGCCGGACUGCUCGCGGUUGGCCUAAAUACGAGUCGUCGGCGACGCACGCCACGACAAUCGGUGGUUGCGAAACCUCGGUUGCCCGUCGUGUGCGGUCGUCGCGCAUCGAGGGCUCGAAAAAAUUGCCGGGCUCCGGCUCGGCUUUCAACGCGACCCCAGGUCAGGCGGGGUUACCCGCUGAAUUUAAGCAUAUCAAUAAGCGGAGGA
rnacentral:misc_RNA from 1 species